CAGGCCUAACACAUGCAAGUCGAACGGGGGAAGGGGAGCUUGCUCCCCGGACCUAGUGGCGGACGGGUGAGUAACGCGUGAGCAACCUGCCUUCAAGAGGGGGAUAACAUCCUGAAAAGGAUGCUAAUACCGCAUAACCUUCCCUUCCCNCAUGGGGAGGGAAGCAAAGGAGCAAUCCGCUUGAAGAUGGGCUCGCGUCCGAUUAGCUGGUUGGAGGGGUAACGGCCCACCAAGGCGAC
rnacentral:rRNA from 1 species